UACGAAGGGGGCUAGCGUUGCCCGGAAUGACUGGGCGUAAAGGGCGCGUAGGCGGUUUCCACAGUCAGGUGUGAAAUUCCCGGGCUUAACCUGGGGGCUGCACUUGAUACGUGGGGACUUGAGUGGGGAAGAGGGUCGUGGAAUUCCCAGUGUAGAGGUGAAAUCCGUAGAUAUUGGGAAGGAUACCGGUGGCGAAGGCGGCGACCUGGUCCUUGACUGACGCUGAGGCGCGAAAGCGUGGGGAG
rnacentral:rRNA from 1 species